CUAUGUUUCUUGGAACAGAACGUCACAGAGGGUGAGAAUCCCGUGCGAUGAGAUGAUCCAGACCUAUGUAAAGUUCCUUCGACGAGUCGAGUUGUUUGGGAAUGCAGCUCUAAGUGGGUGGUAAAUUCCAUCUAAAGCUAAAUAUUGGCGAGAGACCGAUAGCGAACAAGUACAGUGAUGGAAAGAUGAAAAGAACUUUGAAAAGAGAGUGAAAAAGUACGUGAAAUUGUUGAAAGGGAAGGGCUUGAGAUCAGACUUGGUAUUUUGUAUGUUACUUCUUCGGGGGUGGCCUCUACAGUUUAUCGGGCCAGCAUCAGUUUGGACGGUAGGACAAUUGCGGUGGAAUGUGGCACGGCUUCGGUUGUGUGUUAUAGCCACUGUCGAUACUGCCAGUCUAGACUGAGGACUGCGGUUUUAUUACCUAGGAUGUUGGCAUAAUGAUCUUAAGUCGC
rnacentral:rRNA from 1 species